rnacentral:rRNA from 1 species
GAUGAACGCUGGCGGCGUGCCUAAUACAUGCAAGUCGAGCGAACGGACGAGAAGCUUGCUUCUCUGAUGUUAGCGGCGGACGGGUGAGUAACACGUGGAUAACCUACCUAUAAGACUGGGAUAACUUCGGGAAACCGUAGCUAAUACCGGAUAAUAUUUUGAACCGCAUGGCUCAAAAGUGAAAGACGGUCUUGCUGUCACUUAUAGAUGGAUCCGCGCUGCAUUAGCUAGUUGGUAAGGUAACGGCUUACCAAGGCAACGAUGCAUAGCCGACCUGAGAGGGUGAUCGGCCACACUGGAACUGAGACACGGUCCAGACUCCUACGGGAGGCAGCAGUAGGGAAUCUUCCGCAAUGGGCGAAAGCCUGACGGAGCAACGCCGCGUGAGUGAUGAAGGUCUUCGGAUCGUAAAACUCUGUUAUUAGGGAAGAACAUAUGUGUAAGUAACUGUGCACAUCUUGACGGUACCUAAUCAGAAAGCACGGCUAACUACGUG